AGCGAACGCUGGCGGCGUACUUAACACAUGCAAGUCGAACGCGGAUCAUCCUGUGAGCAAUCAUGAGGUGGUCUGAGUGGCGGACGGGUGAGUAACACGUGGGCAACCUGCCCUCGAGCCCGGGAUACCCUCUCGAAAGGGAGGCUAAUACGGGAUACGUUCCCUGGGUCGCAGGUCCUAGGGAGGAAAGGCGGCGCAAGCGGCCGCUCGAGGAGGGGCUCGCGGCCUA
rnacentral:rRNA from 1 species